rnacentral:rRNA from 1 species
UACGUAGGGCGCAAGCGUUGUCCGGAAUUAUUGGGCGUAAGGAGCUCGUAGGUGGCUUGUCACGUCGGGUGUGAAAGCUUGGGGCUUAACUCCAGGUCUGCAUUCGAUACGGGCUGGCUAGAGGUAGGUAGGGGAGAACGGAAUUCCUGGUGUAGCGGUGAAAUGCGCAGAUAUCAGGAGGAACACCGGUGGCGAAGGCGGGUCUCUGGGCCGUAACUGACGCUGAGGAGCGAAAGCAUGGGGAGCGAACAGG